CAUAUCUGGGAAGAGGUCACCCCAAGGAAGAAAGCAAGAACUUUAUCAGCAACUGACAAGCAGCAGAGGCGUCUCACUAAGAAGUGCCCUCCAGCAUACAGACUGGUCACUGCAACCAAGAGAAAGCAGCUGAAAGGGACACGAAAGCUGCUGUUGAGCAUCUUUUAGUUUCCCUACAAGCCCACUCCUCUGGCUAUGCUGACUGGCAGGCUGGAGAAGGGCUGAGCACUAGAGCUUUCUCACUUACUCCAGCAUGGACCGGCUCCUUACAGUGCUCUCCACUGCUUCAGCUCAAGAUCAUUGCUUUCCACGUGGGAGGUUUCCUCAACUUUACAUGAUAUUGCAGUGCCACCUUGAGAGUCCACUGCAUGCACAUCAAAUCUACUUACCAUGAUCUCUGGGUUCUAAUCACAAAGGACCUGUGCAGCGGAACUACUCUGCUUGGGGAGGGAAGGAAGGAGGGAGAGGGGAAAAAAAACAA